GGAAAGAAGGCUUAAUGGUUAAAAGCACUUGGGGUGGACCUGGAAACAUUCAUAGCACCCACACAGUGGCUCACAACUAUCUACUGACUCUCUCUUCAGACACACGCGCGCGCACACACACACACACACACACACACACACACACACACACACACACACAUACACACACACACACACACACACAGGCAAAACCCUCAUACACAUAAAAUAAACACAAAUCAUCAGAAAAAACAUUACCAUAAUAGCAUCACCACAUCUGUGAUAUUUAAUAAUCAUGUAAGCUUGACAGGAUCAAGAGGAAGCUAGGAGACAAACCUCCAGACACGCCUGCGAGGGAUUAUCUAGAAGAAAAUAAUUGAAGCAGGAAGACCUGCCUUAACUGUGGGUGGCACCAUUCCUUGGGGUGAGGUCCUGGAUUGAGGACAAAGUAGAAAGUAUGUUGUCACAACGAGGAAACGAGAAAUGUCUUGGUCAGAGUAUUUGAAGCAGGAAGACCCAGGACGCAGGACUGCCCUUCUCUUGGCAGUCUACAUAAAAGGACACGGAUGAAGGAAGCAUUGCUCUUUGCUUCACACUUGCUGAUGAGUUGAGCUGGAAAGAUCCUGUUGCUGUGGCAUUCCUUGACCGAUAUUAGAACUUACUUCCUCAGGAUUCCAAGGUAGAUUGAAGACCAGCAUCUCCCCAGGAAUCCUCCAGGCCUUCAGUGCCAUUUUGAGACUACUGGGACAUUCAGCCUCAUGAUUCUUUGUGUCUCAAUA
rnacentral:lncRNA from 1 species